AUACGUAGGUGACAAGCGUUAUCCGGAUUUACUGGGCGUAAAGGGCGUGUAGGCGGUCUUGCAAGUCAGAAGUGAAAUUCCUGAGCUCAACUCGGGCGCUGCUUCUGAAACUGCAGGACUUGAGUGCUGGAGGGGAUAGCGGAAUUCCUAGUGGAGCGGUAAAAUGCGCAGAUAUUAGGAAGAACACCGGUGGCGAAGGCGGCUAUCUGGACAGUAACUGACGCUGAGGCGCGAAAGCGUGGGGAGCAAACAGGAUUAGAUACCCUGGUAGUCCACGCCGUAAACGAUGGAUACUAGGUGUAGGUGUCGAUAGGCAUCUGUGCCGUAGCGAACGCAAUAAGUAUCCCGCCUGGGGAGUACGGCCGCAAGGUUGAAACUCAAAUGAAUUGACGGGG
rnacentral:rRNA from 1 species